GGAGAGGGACUUUAGGCUGCCCCUUUCUGGGACCUUGCGGCCACCCUUCUCGAGGAGCACCCCAGCCAUUUUCCAAGCUUACUGCCCAUUUGUGCCCUGUGAACUUCAAAAGCCAAGAUUAGGAUGGGGAGGCCAGGGCCUCCCCCUAUACAUAGCAGCCAUAUCCCUGCCCCCUGGGAAUUUCUGGAAAAUAGUUGUUUCCCAGGCUAAGCAGGCUCCUCCUCUUACUGGUUGGCCCUCUUGGGCAGCUGUCCUGUGCAGGCUGCGACACACAUUUUCACUUGUUCAGCAUCCACUUACCAGCAUGGCUCAUGGUCAGAACAUGAGGUUGAAGACUGGGACAAAAGGCAAGGCCUGUGGGCAGCUCUCAGGCAAGAGAUCAUAAACUGAUUUGAUCACUCUGGAGUUGGGGCUUGUGCUAGCACAUAGUAGGUGCUCAGUAAAAGACUGCAGAUCAGAUCAGGAGCCAGGUUAGGAGUGGUCAGGGGGUUGGUGAAAUAGCAUCCAUUAUAUAUAUAUGGACACAAAGUCACUCAACAAACAUUUGCUGAGUGCCCUCAGGAUGCCAGCUGCUAUAAGGGGCAACAGAGAGCAAGCACCCAGCCCUGAUGCCUGAGUGGUACCUUCAGCAGGGCAAGACAGGGUGGAGCAUGUGGGCUUUCUUGACCAUUCUAUUGCCUUGGAUCCAUCUAAAUAGAUGCCCACAAUACUUUCUGCACCUACCUUAGGGGUGUUCUUUAUGGUGAGUGAGCCCUUGCCAAACAGCCAAGAUCCCACCAGUUAAUGACCACCCACAGGGAGUCUCUGGGCAGAAAACUCCCUGCCACUUCCAGGCACUGGAACGGGGAUGCACAAGAGCCCUGAAUUCCAGCUUCGAAUGGCAUUGUGCAGCCUUGGAACAUGGGAAGCGGUAACUGCUCACUGCUCUGUCCAUCCUGCCCUGCUGGGGACAUGGCUCGGGGACACUGGGCCUCCCAGCGUUCCUUAAUAUUUUAGUGUCUCACUGUUUCACCCAAGUCCCUAACAGAACUAUCCAUAUGACAAUCUGUCUGUGCCUUAUGGAAGUGUGUGUGUGUGUGUGUGUGUGUGUGUGUGUGUGUGCACUUUUUAUCCUUUAAAAUGCAACCCUUCAACGUGGACAAGAAGCUAGCAGAUGCGGUUGGGCUCCAGAUGCCAGCAAGGAGUCCCUGAGACCCUCUUGCAGUUUGCAGGUGGAAUGAUAGUGUUCACCCCCACCCAUCCCCGCUACCUGUGUACAGACCCUUUGAAACAUGUCUGUCCUUUAUGAUUCAAUACUGUGACUCUCCUAUACCGUCUAGUCUUUGGGGAACUGUACUAAAGGCCUGAGAACUUGGGGAGGGGGGUGAGUGGGAAGGGUUUGCGCUAGUCUUUGUGUGUUGUGUGUUCUGAUAUUUGUCUGUUUUUAUCUGUUUUAUAUUAACAUAAAUUUCCUGUUUG
rnacentral:lncRNA from 1 species